GCUUCGAUAGCUCAGUUGGCAGAGCUGUAGAAGUAUUAACGGUGGUCCUUAGGUCGCUGGUUCAAAUCCGGCUCGAGAUA